rnacentral:rRNA from 1 species
UCGGUUGAUCCUGCCGGACCCCACUGCUAUCGGGAUAGGACUAAGACAUGCUAGUCGUGCGCUUCCUAGCUAACUUGGAAGCGCGGCACACAGCUCAGUAACACGUGGCUAACCUGCCCUUGGGACAAGAACACCCCCGGGAAACUGGGGCUAAUUCUCGAUGGGCGAAGAACUCUGGAAUGAGUCUUUACUUAAAAGAUGCUAAAGUUAUGCUCUUUAGCACCGCCCAAGGAUGGGGCCGCGGCCGAUCAGGUUGUUGGUGAGGUAAUGGCUCACCAAGCCUUUUACCGGUGCGGGCCGUGGGAGCGGGAGCCCGGAGAUGGGCACUGAGACAAGGGCCCAGGCCCUACGGGGCGCAGCAGUCGCGAAAACUUUGCAAUAAGCGAAAGCUUGACAGGGCUAUCCCGAGUGCCAUCCGCUGAGGAAGGCUUUUACCCAGUCUAGAACGCUGGGGGAAUAAGGAGAGGGCAAGUCUGGUGUCAGCCGCCGCGGUAAUACCAGCUCUCCGAGUGGUGUGGAUGUUUAUUGGGCCUAAAGCAUCCGUAGCUGGCUAGGUUAGUCCCCUGUUAAAUCCACCGAAUUAAUCGUUGGAUUGCGGGGGAUACUGCUUGGCUAGGGGACNAGAGAGGCAGACGGUAUUUCCGGGGUAGGGGUGAAAUCCUAUNAUCCCGGGAAGACCACCAGUGGCGAANGCUGUCUGCUAGAACGCGCCCGACGGUGAGGGAUGAAAGCUGGGGGANCGAACCGGAUUANAUACCCGGGUAGUCCCAGCUGUAAACGAUGCAGGCUAGGUGUUUG